UUGAGCACAUGAUACUUUGGGAUGUUUUGCAAAUGACCCGAUCUGGAAAAACAAGAUAACCUCAGACUUCCUCAUGGCAGCCUCCGAAACAGAGAAGACAGAGAGGAUUAUCUGCAGGAGAGAGCUGCCAUGUCUGGCAGCUCCCCACCGAAUGGAAGAAUGGAGACUACCACCUUGGACCCCCUUUGAAACCUGAAAGAAGGGAUCUGGAAGUCUUGAGACAUUGCUGGAAACCAUCAAGCUAAAGUAUUAAGCGCCCUCAGCCCAGGAGAAAGGCCAUGCUGCUACAACAGGGAAUCGAGAAAAGGAUGUCUGAGACACACAGUUUCCCCAGGCCUGGGUCUUCAACCAAAUGAAGACCACCAUAGAUGCCAGUCCAAAAGGAACCAAGAGACAUAAAUAGUAAUCAUUUUCUACCUGUUUUCCAAGGAAAGCUAAAAAGAAAAACCAUGAAAAGUUA